UACGAAGGGGGCUAGCGUUGCUCGGAAUCACUGGGCGUAAAGCGCACGUAGGCGGAUUGCUAAGUCAGGGGUGAAAUCCUGGAGCUCAACUCCAGAACUGCUCUUGAUACUGGCGGUCUCGAGUCCGGGAGAGGUGAGUGGAACUGCGAGUGUAGAGGUGAAAUUCGUAGAUAUUCGCAAGAACACCAGUGGCGAAGGCGGCUCACUGGCCCGGUACUGACGCUGAGGUGCGAAAGCGUGGGGAGCAAACAGG
rnacentral:rRNA from 1 species